rnacentral:rRNA from 1 species
CCCACAUGAAGUCGGAGUUGCUAGUAAUCGCGGAUCAGCAUGCCGCGGUGAAUGCGUUCCCGGGCCUUGUACACACCGCCCGUCAAGCCAUGGGAGCCGGGAGUGCCUGAAGUACGUGACCGCAAGGAGCGUCCUAGGGUAAGACCGGUGACUGGGGCUAAGUCGUAACAAGGUAGC